CUUUAUGUUGAUCAGAGCUUCCAUGACAGACAGUGCAUCUGAGAGAAACACGACUGAGGGCAAAAUGUCAAGGCCGCCAGCUGUCAAAAGGACUAGGAAUUGUACAAUACACUUAAAUUCCACACAAAAAUCCUUAUAAAUAGAGAUAAUUCACCUCAAAAUUGGAUGUAACAUGCAUGUUGUACUACGGAAAAGUGGCCUUGAUAUUUUCUUACGACCAGUAAUAAAAAAGUUACAGUAUAAGCUAUUUAAAGUAACAACAAAGUGAAGUAAUUCUAGCUUCUUGCAUAUGACACUCCGUCUUAUGAUGGUGAACAAUUGUGCCAAGUUACAUCAAAAUCCCUCUAUGCAUGACAAAGAAAUGCUCUGGACAAUGUCAUUGUUGUAUCUAACCUUUGACCUCGACCAUAGACCUAGGGACCUGGCUCUUGCGCAUAACACCCCGUCUCAUUACGUUGAACAUUCUUGUCCAGCUACAUCAAAUUCUCACCAUGCACUAAGAAGAAAUGCUCCGGACAAACUCAUUCUUCAAUUUGACCUUUGACCUUCAACCGUGACCUUGACCUUUGAGAUAGGGACAUGGGGUCCGCGCACAACACUCCCUCCCACCGAGAUAAAACAUUCCUGUCAAAUAUAAACAAGACUGGUCCAUGCAUAUCAAAGCUAUGGUCCAGACAAAAUCGGACGGACAGACGCACGCACGCACAUUCUGCUACCCAAUUAUGGCUGAUGAGUAUAUGAAAAACUUUUGUUCUUAUCAGCAAUCAUUAUUUAAUGACACUGUUUUAAAUACUGAUAAGUCGAUGUUCAUCUUCAGAAGAAAAUGACUCACGAAAAAUCUUCCUAAUGAACUUUCUCAGAAUUUUUACACAAUGUUACUGUCAUAUCGACGUUCAAUAUUGCAUACUGGUGCAAAUUUUGAGACAAAUAAAGAGGCUGAAAUAUGUUUUCCUGGAGUUUUAAUGGACAGUAAUGAUUAAAAGUAUUAAAUUUUAUGAAUCCCUGUCGCUACACAGUGAAAAAGGCCCCUCGUUCUGAAAUUUUGAAAUAAUUAUGCAAAAAUUGAAGCGAGCGGAAUCUGAUUUUUAGCUCAGGUGAGUUUUUCUGAUCGCUCAGACAUUUAGCUUGUGUAUACGAUAGAGGCUGUAUUUUUCAAUUGAUCUUCAUGAAAUUUGGUCAGAUUGAUUAUCUUGAUAAAAUCUAGGCCGAGUUCGAAAAUGGGUCAUCUGGGGUCAAAAACUAGGUCACUAGGUCAAAUCAAAGAAAAACCUUGUGUAUGCGAUAGAGGCUGUAUUUUUCAAUUAAACUUCAUGAAUUUUGGUCAGAAUAAUAACCUUGAUGAAAUCUAGGCCGAGUUUGAAAAUGGGUAAUCUGGGAUCAAAAAGUUAGGUCACUAGGUCAAAUCAAAGAAAAACCUUGUGUAUGCGAUAGAGGCUGUAUUUUUCAAUUAAUCUUCAUUAAAUUUAUCAGAACGAUUACCUUGAUGAAAUCUAGGCCGAGUUUGAAAAGCGGUCAUCUGAGGUCAAAAACUAGGUCACUAAGUAAAAUCAAAGAAAAACCUUGUGUAUGCGAUAGAGGCUGUAUUUUUCAAUCAAACUUCAUGAAUUUUGGUCAAAAUGAUUGCCUUGAUGGAAUCUAGGUCAAGUUCGAAUAUGGGUCUUCUAGGGUUAAAAAGUAGGUCACUAGGUCAAAUCAAAGGAAAAGUUUGUAUAUUCGAUAGAGGCUGUAUUUUUCAAUUGAUCUUCCUGAAAUUAAGUCAAAAUGGUCACCUUAAUAAAAUCUAGGCCGAGUUUGAAAAUGGGUCAUCUGGGGUCAACAACUAGGUCACUAGGUCAAAUCAAAGAAAAAACAUUGUGUAUGCGAUAUAGAGGUUGUAGUUUUCAAUUGAUCUUCAUGAAAUUUGGUCAGAAUGAUUGCCUUGAUAAAAUCUAGGUCAAAUUUAAAUAUGGGUCAUCUGGGGUCAAAAAGUAGGUCACUAGGUCAAAUCAAAGAUACACUUUGUGUAUGCGAUAGAGGCUGUAUUUUUUCAAUUGAUCUUCAUGAAAUUUGGUCAGAAUGAUUGUCUUGAUAAAAUCUACGUUGCGUUUGAUUACGGGUCGUCUGGGGUCAAAAAGUAGGUCACUAGAUCAAAUCAAAGAAAACCCUUCUGUAUGCAAUAGAGGCUGAAUUUUUCAAUUAAUAUUCAUGAAAUUUGGUCAGAAUGAUUGCCUUGAUGAAAUCUAGGACAAGUUGGAAUAUGGGUCAUCUGGGUCAAAAAGUAGGUCACUAGGUUAAAUCAAAGAAAACCCUUCUGUAUGCGAUAGAGGCUGUAUUUUUCAACUGAUCUUCAUGAAAUUUUGUUAGAAUGAUAGCCUUGAUGAAAUCUAGGUCAAGUUCGAAUAUUGGUCAUCUGGGUUUAGAAACUAGGUCACUAGGUCAAAUCAAGGAAAAACCUUGUGUAUGCAAUAGGGGCUGCAAUUUACACUGGAUUUUCAUUAAAUUUGGUCAGAAUGGUUGCCUUGAUUAAGUCUAGGUCAAGUUCGAAUAUGGGUCAUCUGGGGUCAAAAGCUAGGUCACUAGGUCAAAUCAAAGAAAAACCUUGUGUAUGUGAUAGAGGCUGUCCUUUUUUUAAUUGAUCUUCAUGAAAUUUGGUCAGAAUGAUAACCUUGAUGAAAUCUAGGUCAAGUUCGAAUAUGGGUCAUCUGGGGUUAAAAACUAGGUCACUAGGUUAAAUCAAAGAAAAUACUUAUUCAUACUCAAGAUUUUUUGCUCCAAUUUUAAUGAUAAUUGCUCAGAAUAUUUUUUUCCAUGAAAUCACUAAGUCAAAUAUGUUUACACUGUUAUGGUGUGUUAUGGUGAGCGACCUAGGGCCAUCUUGGCCCUCUUGUUUUAGAAAAAUAUUUAUUUUCUUAGAUUCUGAAAAAAAUGGUGACUAAGUAAUCAAUUUCAUAUGACCUAUUUGAAAGUUUGUUUAUACAGUGAAAACGAAUCCUCAGUAUAAGUUUUGAUUUUACAGUAAUAUAGUCUGACAAAAAACCUGAUAGAGACAAGGUAUAUCAAUGUAAAAAGGUUUAUGUAAUGUUUGUUAUAUUUGAGAAACUAAUAAAAACAGUAAAAAGUGACAUCAUGCUUUUUGACAGGUGAAGACGACACCUGGUAGUAACAAGAGACGAAGAAUUGUCGUAGAGGAGGGGGAAGGUAGUGUAGAAAAUGAAUCCGGUGAUGAAUCUGAGGAAGGGAGUGAUGAUGAUGAUGAUGCUAGCAGUGGUGUUGAUGAAGCUGGUGUUUCAUCAGAUGAUGCUUUUGAAAAAUAUUCUCAAGUCAAAGACACAAUUGACGUACAAUUUGAAAGACUAAAGAAAACAUUCCAAAGGUUGGAUGAUAAUUUAAAGG